rnacentral:rRNA from 1 species
CAGCCGCCGCGGGAAUACGAAGGGUGCAAGCGUUACUCGGAAUUACUGGGCGUAAAGCGUGCGUAGGUGGUGGUUUAAGUCCGUUGUGAAAGCCCUGGGCUCGACCUGGGAAUUGCAGUGGAUACUGGGUCACUAGAGUGUGGUAGAGGAUAGUGGAAUUUCCGGUGUAGCAGUGAAAUGCGUAGAGAUCGGAAGGAACAUCUGUGGCGAAGGCGACUAUCUGGGCCAACACUGACACUGAGGCACGAAAGCGUGGGGAGCAAACAGGAUUAGAUACCCGCGUAGUCCCUGUCUCUUAUAC